UACGGAGGGUGCAAGCGUUGUCCGGAAUCACUGGGCGUAAAGGGCGCGUAGGCGGCUCAUGAAGGCUGUGGUGAAAGUCCGGGGCUCAACCUCGGAUCGGCCGUGGCGACUCGUGGGCUGGAGCACUGUAGAGGCGGGUGGAAUUCCGGGUGUAGCGGUGGAAUGCGUAGAGAUCCGGAAGAACACCAGUGGCGAAGGCGGCCCGCUGGGCAGUGGCUGACGCUGAGGCGCGACAGCGUGGGAGGCAAAC
rnacentral:rRNA from 1 species